GACAGAGGGUGCAAACGUUGCUCGGAAUCACUGGGCGUAAAGGGCGUGUAGGCGGGAAGGAAAGUCAGAUGUGAAAUCCCUGGGCUCAACCCAGGAACUGCAUUUGAAACUCCCUUUCUUGAGUGUCGGAGAGGAAAGCGGAAUUCCUGGUGUAGAGGUGAAAUUCGUAGAUAUCAGGAGGAACACCGGUGGCGAAGGCGGCUUCUGGACGACAACUGACGCUGAGACGCGAAAGCGUGGGGAGCAAACAGG
rnacentral:rRNA from 1 species